rnacentral:rRNA from 1 species
UACAGGGGGGGCAAGCGUUGUUCGGGAUUACUGGGCGUAAAGGGUUCGUAGGUGGCCACCUAAGUCAGACGUGAAAUCCCUCGGCUUAACCGGGGAACUGCGUCUGAUACUGGAUGGCUUGAAUCCGGGAGAGGGAUGCGGAAUUCCAGGUGUAGCGGUGAAAUGCGUAGAUAUCUGGAGGAACACCGGUGGCGAAGGCGGCAUCCUGGACCGGCAUUGACGCUGAGGAGCGAAAGCCAGGGGAGCAAACGGG